rnacentral:rRNA from 1 species
UAUCUGCAGUCGAGGGGCAGCAGGGUUGUAGCAAUACAAUCGCUGGCGACCGGCAAACGGGUGCGGAACACGUACGCAACCUUCCUUCAAAUGGGGGAUAGCCCACCGAAAGGUGGAUUAAUACCCCGUAACAUUUUCUGGUGGCAUCACUGGAUUAUUAUAGCUCCGGCGUUUGAAGAUGGGCGUGCGCCUGAUUAGGUAGUUGGCGGAGUAACAGCCCACCAAGCCUACGAUCAGUAACUGGUGUGAGAGCACGACCAGUCACACGGGCACUGAGACACGGGCCCGACUCCUACGGGAGGCAGCAGUAAGGAAUAUUGGUCAAUGGACGCAAGUCUGAACCAGCCAUGCCGCGUGGAGGAUGAAGGUCCUCUGGAUUGUAAACUUCUUUUAUCGGAGAAGAAACCCUUGCAUUCUUGCGAGGUUGACGGUACCCGAUGAAUAAGCACCGGCUAACUCCGUGCCAGCAGCCGCGGUAAUACGGAGGGUGCAAGCGUUAUCCGGAUUCACUGGGUUUAAAGGGAGCGUAGGUGGGAUGGUAAGUCAGUGGUGAAAUCUCCGGGCUUAACUCGGAAACUGCCGUUGAUACUAUCAUUCUUGAAUAUUGUGGAGGUAAGCGGAAUAUGUCAUGUAGCGGUGAAAUGCUUAGAUAUGACAUAGAACACCGAUAGCGAAGGCAGCUUGCUACACAAUUAUUGACACUGGGGCUCGAAAGCGUGGGGAUCAAACAGGAUUAGAUACCCUGGUAGUCCACGCCCUAAACGAUGGAUACUCGACAUACGCGAUACACAGUGUGUGUCUGAGCGAAAGCAUUAAGUAUCCCACCUGGGAAGUACGACCGCAAGGUUGA